rnacentral:tRNA from 1 species
GGGGUUGUGGCUUAGAGGUAGAGCACUCGCCUAACAUGUGUGAGGCACUGGAUUCGAUCCCCAGCACCA